rnacentral:rRNA from 1 species
AGAACGAACGCUGGCGGCAUGCCUAACACAUGCAAGUCGAACGAUGCUUUCGGGCAUAGUGGCGCACGGGUGCGUAACGCGUGGGAAUCUGCCUUUCGGUACGGAAUAACAGUUAGAAAUGACUGCUAAUACCGUAUGAUGUCUUCGGACCAAAGAUUUAUCGCCGAGAGAUGAGCCCGCGUAGGAUUAGGUAGUUGGUGGGGUAAAGGCCUACCAAGCCGACGAUCCUUAGCUGGUCUGAGAGGAUGAUCAGCCACACUGGGACUGAGACACGGCCCAGACUCCUACGGGAGGCAGCAGUGGGGAAUAUUGGACAAUGGGCGAAAGCCUGAUCCAGCAAUGCCGCGUGAGUGAUGAAGGCCUUAGGGUUGUAAGCUCUUUACCCGGGAAGAUAAUGACUGUACCGGAGAAUAAGCCCGGCUAACUCCGUGCCAGCAGCCGC